rnacentral:lncRNA from 1 species
AUUUGGAAGAUGCUUCCAGUCAAGUCUCAAUCUCAGUCGGUCACUGGUCCAUGUAUAUUUCAUGGACAUCUACCCUGUGCUGGGCACUGGGCAGACAACAGUCUACUGGACCCAGUCUCACUCUCAAGGGGACUGUAGUCCAAGAGAGAGGCAGGUAGAUUAUCGGAUGAAGAAACUGAGGCUCAAAGAGCCACAGCGGGACGGAGGAGGUGGACCCGGCUCUGAUGCAGGUGGCUGGUUCGAUGGCAGACUCCCCUGUGCCGAGACUCCCAGACCAAAUCCGGAGGUCCUGGAGUAGAGUGGGUGGGUCCGCCAGGGCAUGGCCAGGCUGCCUGUCUCUGGAGACUCCCCCAAGGAAGUUUCUUGACCUUGAGGAUGAUAACGCAGGGCAGGCUCUUGAGGGCUGUGCAGGGACUCCCUGGAGAGCCCUGGGAAAAGCAGGUCCCCGCCUGCCUGGACCUCUGCCUCUGCUGCAGGGGCCAGCACAGGUGUCAGGUCUCCACACAUUUCAUGUCCAGGCCAUUUUCCCACUCUAGGGCCAGGGCUGGGCACUUCCCAGUCAGUGGCACAGCUGGUACUGUGGGGUCUCUCGCUGUGCAAAGGUUGGUUUCAAUCCCAAGUGUCACUGCUGGAAACACUGGCCACCCCGGGACAUGUGGUCUUGCCAGUCCUUCUGCAGGGCUCUGUUUCUUAGGUCCCAGUCAUCUGCAUGGAGCACUAGUCCGAGAUCUUCCAAGAUGCUGGGGAGGAACAAGCCUGCUAUGCUCAUUCCCAAAGGACUCCACAUCUAGAUAAAUGAAGGCCUGGAAGGCUCUUUGGCUCUACACUAGCAAAACAGCUUACGUCACCCUGCCUAAAGAGACAGUCAGGAAAUCCCCUUGUUCCUGGGCGAGGAGAAGCUGGCCCAAACGGAGUGACGGCAUUGAGCAGAUACUACCCUUGGCUCGCUCAUGGAUGGGGCGGGGCCUGCUGACCUUGACAGCAAUCAGGGGAGGGGGUUUGGAGGGAAGGGGUUAGCUGGUGAAGGUGAGGGAAAGGACUGGAGUUAGGACAGGGUGCAGCGACCACAUCCUGUGACGAGGAGGCAUCUGUGACCUGUGUGAUCUGCCAGGCAGGCAGCACAAGUCAUUGUACUGCUACUAUGCCCACUACUGAGACAGGAACAAAGAGAGGCUGUUUCUGCCUCUUGGUGCUCUCCGUUGGACACAUCUGCUGGGCAGUACUGACUUUUACCAUAGGUAUUUUUCUGCUCUUCCUUCCCUCCUCCUCUCCCUCUCUCUUUUCCAGGGCACUCACACACACACACUUGCACACAUAUGCACAGUUGCACACACAUGCAUUGAACACAUGUGCACAUAUAUGCGUUUGCAUACACUUGCACACCCACACACCUGUGCACUAGCACCCAUUUGCACGCAUGUCCACACACUUGCACACAUGUGCAUUUGCAGAAAUGCACCAUUGCACUUGUGUGACACACCUGCACACUUGCACACACCCAUUUGCAUACAGGCACAGACUCGCAUACAUUUGCACACACAGCCACAAAAUUGCACAAGCAGCACUUGUACACUGACACAUCCGUUUGUGCCUAUACAGUGCACACUUAUGCAUUUGCACACAGCUAUGCUUGCUCACACAUUUGCACACACCCACCUACACACUUGCACACAUACUACACACUUGAGCAUGCAGCACACAUACAUAUGUGCAUACAUGCACAUUUGCACAUGCACACAGCAGUGGCACACACUUCUCUAUCACUCUCCCUAGUCACUGUUCUCCCCUGUGAUUCCCACCCCUCUGACCGCCCCUGCUCACUUGCUGCCCCCUCCACUGGAAGGGCCCUAGCCUGGUGCCCUGUCUCUGUCUGUCUCCACCGUGCAGGGAGGUUUCACAAGGACUCGCUGAUGUCUCGCCUCAAGAUGGCCUGGCCGCAGCUGCUGCUGAGCGGAAGUCUCUGGGGGGCGAGGCUGAGAGGAAACCACACUCUCACUGGGGUUCCCGCAGCUCUGGCCUCUGGGGAGGGGUGCGGAGAUGUGUGGGCGUGAGAUGGCUUUGAGGGAGGGACAGCAUGAAGCUUUUCUCUGGGUCUGUCUUUUCAGUCUCCAGGACAAAACUAGGCCACUGUGCUCCAGGAGAAGGGAAAACCCAUGUCCCCCCAGGCUGGGCCCACCGGCAAAUCGGGCUCCCAGGCUCUUCUCAGCCCAUGCUUCUGUCUCUGCCUUGUCAGGCUUAUUCUUCGGGCCUUUGAAGCAGCCUUUGGUGGGCAAAGGCAUCUCAGGGAACCCUGGCCUGUCUCCUCCAGAGCUUGUGCCUUGGCCCUGGGCAGGGGCCACCAUGGGCUGUUGAUGUAAAUGGCAUCCCCAGAGUUGUGCAGUGUGGGGGCAACCCUGAGGUAUCAGCCCAGUCCCCUGUCUGCAGCUUUUGCUACCCAGCCCAGCUCCAGCUCUGUCUCUGUCACUGGGGGUGGUGGGGGAGGCUGGAGCUCAGGGACGGGGCACUCCUGGCAGAUUCUCCCUGCCCCAGGUGGAAGGGGAGGGGGGAAGUGCCCAUCCUCCAUCCUCCUAUCCUGCCAGCGGGGUGGGCGCUACUAUGCUGGGGAGGGUCUGGCUGAAUAAUGAUGCUGAGCUCGGGACACCAGCCUUCUCCGUGCACCUACUGUGUGCCAAGUACCGUCCCAAGAGCAUUAUGGGUGGUAACUUAUACAAUGACUCAGAGAGGCACCGCUAUAGUCACCCCCAGUUUCUGUCUGGUUCCAGUCCUGGCCACACAGCUAAUAAGCAGCAAAUGGAUUUGAUCUGAUUUUAUCUGAACCCGGGCAGCUGGCCCAGAGCCCACUGUCUAAUCAUUGGGCCGUCCAGCCUGUCAAGACUCCAGGCUCGCUGGCGUCGCACCCCUCUGUCAUUUCCCAGGGAAACAAGCUCUAGCAGCACCUGCCCUGUGGGCACUUUGGCCCUGCCUCCCUGCCUCUCAUGAUAGGAGCCAAAGAAUGGUCUCCUUUGCAGGAAAGGAGCUCGACAGGGGUCUUCUCUUGCAGGCUCUGUCUUGCAUGUGGGUCCUGAGCUUUCUCAUUGAGUAAGGGGAGGGGGCAGCAGGUUCAGUCCAGCGCAGAGUGGAUGGAGGCCGGUUGAGGCUUUCUUGAAACCCUAAGCCCAGCUGGGAUCCUCGGGGAAGGAUCCUUCGCUGGGACCUGACUGGAGGUCAGUGGGGCACGUGGCUGGAGCCCAAGUAGGAGGGAGGAAGAAAUGGUGGUCUGAGUCCUGGGGUGACCAGGCCCUGAACCUGCCCUGCUGGGACCCCAUUCCCUGACUCUAGGCCCCCUUUCCCCACCACACAGGACACCAGGCUCUUGCCUUAAGAUAGGAAAGGAAAUGCCUUAUGGUGAACAAUUCUCCAGGUCCCUAGUGUGGCUCCAACAGAUGCCAGAGGGACAUGGCAGGUGACCCUGGUCUCCUAUGACCCUGACUUUACUUGCUGUCAUGAGGCCAAUCUCUUACCUUGACCCACCUCCUGCCUCUGCUUUCAGAAGGGCAGAAGAGAGGCCUCCUCUAGCUUCCCAGCCGCCCCCCGCCUCCUGCUGCCCGGCAGCGCUGGGCCCCCCAGCAGCGAGGUUCAGGAGGGGAAGAACCUCUCGCAGGUGAACAAAUUGCUGCACAUCAGACACAUUCUUUUCAAGCCUCAUUUUCUCUCCUUUUCAUGCUAACUUUCCCACUAUUAAAGAGCAUUUUUAAAAAGAAGAUGAAAAAAGGGAGAGAGAAAAGAAGGAUGAAAGUGUGAGCGGGUAUCCGGAAGUCCUUUUCAAUUGCCUGCUGCUGUGCAGGGUCUGAACUAAGAGCAAGAAAUUGGAGGAUGCUGGAGGGGUGAGGUUUCGUUUCAGUCCCGCCUAUUGGGACAAGUCUGGGGCGGGGAAGGAGAGGUGAUGGAGGUGGGCCUGGCUGGGCCCUGCGGCCCUGGAGGCUGCCCCUCUGCCCGCCACCCAGCCCCUGGCCUGUGCCUGGCACAGGAAGCCUGUCAAUAAUUUCUUGUUGAAUGAAUGAAAGAGAAGAAAUCAGUGGAUGGAGAAGGGCUGGAUUCUUUUGUGGGGACCUUCCACGCCACCUUCUCUGUGGGGCUCUAGGGCUGAGAAAGAAAGGACAGAUUUGGCAAAGGUCAGGCAGGGGCUGGGAAAGCAUUAGGUGGACCAGGCAUGCUACAGCAAGGCCACGCCUGCACUGUUGUCCCACUGGUGACAUCCAUGGGUGCAGCCAUGGCGGGUGGGCGCAGUUUCACAUGGGAUUGGGGGUGAGCCUGGGUUGGGUGGGCGACCCCCACCCCUUCCCUACCCCUCUCCCCACCAGCAGGUACUACUGGGUCUGCGUGAAGAAAAAAGCUCAGGAACAUGCCAGGAAGGUGUGACCAUGAUGAUACCUCUGAGACGAACCCAAGAAGAAACAGCAGAGUAUUACAAAGGGGAACAGGACUCAGGGUGGACUUCAAGUAUCAUUAAACAUAAUCAAAUAUUUAAAAAGUUAUUAUUGACUGGGUGCAGUGGCUCACGGCUUUAAUCCCAGCACUUAGAGAGGCCAAGGUAGGAAGAUUGCUUUAGCCUAGGAGUUUGAGACCAGCAUGGGCAACAUAGUGAGACCCCACCUCU